AGGACAAGGGAAGAGAGAGAUUGAGAGGAAAGGGGGGUACGGGAAGAAGGGGAAGGAAAGAGGGAGAUUGAGAGGGAGAGCAAGAGGGAGAGAAUUUAGAGAGAACUAGUUAUUCAUUAAUCUUCUAUGAAUGCAAUUACAACCCAAGAACUCUACUUAUAUUCUGUUUUGGCUUUGGUAACCAAUUAACAAAGAAAAUUAACUCCACAAAUAUUAGCCAUUUAGCCCACAUGAUGAGCAUCUCCUCACCAAUCCUCUAA
rnacentral:misc_RNA from 1 species